UACGGAGGGUGCGAGCGUUAAUCGGAAUUACUGGGCGUAAAGCGCGCGUAGGCCGCUUUGUAAGUCAGAGGUGAAAUCCCAGCGCUCAACGUUGGAAUAGCCUUUGAUACUGCAGAGCUUGAGUUCGUGAGAGGGUGGCGGAAUUCCUGGUGUAGGAGUGACAUCCGUAGAGAUCAGGAGGAACACCGGUGGCGAAGGCGGCCACCUGGCACGAUACUGACGCUGAGGUGCGAAAGCGUGGGGAGCAAACAGG
rnacentral:rRNA from 1 species